rnacentral:rRNA from 1 species
UACAGAGACCUCAAGCGUUAUCCGGAAUCAUUGGGCGUAAAGCGUGCCGAUAGGUGGUGUGUAUAGUCUUGGGUAAAAGCCAGAAGCUUAACUUCUGAGUUUGCUUAAGAUACUGACACACUAGAGGGGCAAAGAGGUGCUUGGAACGAAUGGUGUAGUAGUGAAAAUGCGUUGAUAUCAUUCGGAACACCGAAAGCGAAGGCAGAGCACUGGGUGCCACCUGACACUGCUAGGACGAAAGCGUGGGUAGCGAAUGGG